rnacentral:RNase_P_RNA from 1 species
GUUUUCGGAUGUUCGAUCGAAAGAUACUAGUUUUUUGAUAGGAAAGUCCAGGCUCGCACGCGCUGCGACGCGCGUAGUGUUUGUGCCAGCGGAAUAAAUAACGCUGGGCAGGGGAGUCACCCCUGACGGCAGAGAAAUUGGCUUCAGGUUCUCCUUUUAAACCCAGCCAAAAGUAUCUUGAAAGUGCCAUAGAGACGAGUUUUCGCGGAAACGCGGAAAAUGGAACGCGGUAAACCCCUCAAGCGAGCAACCCAAACUACGGUCGGGGCAUCAGAUUCGGCGAAUGAAUUUUUUAAAAUGAAGCCAGAAUUUGGCUGUCAGCUAUGGCAGAGACAGAUGAGCAUACAGGCGCGCGUGAAAUCGCGUGCUGGACAUAACUUGGCUUAUAGAA